rnacentral:rRNA from 1 species
UGGGGAAUAUUGCACAAUGGACGGAAGUCUGAUGCAGCAACGCCGCGUGCGGGAUGACGGCCUUCGGGUUGUAAACCGCUUUUUCUCAUGACGAAGUUUUUUGACGGUAGUGGGGGAAGAAGCACCGGCUAACUACGUGCCAGCAGCCGCGGUGAUACGUAGGGUGCGAGCGUUGUCCGGAAUUAUUGGGCGUAAAGAGCUUGUAGGCGGUUUGUCGCGUCGAUAGUGCAAACUCAGUGCUUAACGCUGAGCCUGCUGUUGAUACGGGCAGACUAGAGGAAGGUAGGGGAGAAUGGAAUUCCCGGUGGAGCGGUGGAAUGCGCAGAUAUCGGGAGGAACACCGGUGGCGAAGGCGGUUCGCUGGGCCUUUCCUGACGCUGAGAAGCGAAAGCGUGGGGAGCGAACAGG